GUUGGGGCAAGUAUGGACAAAACAUUCAAGCGUGAUACAGCUCUGAAUUUGGAUUGUGAUCAAAUUUUUGACAUUACAUGGGUUUUUUUUUACAUAAAACAAAUGUCAAGAUUUUACAAAUCAAUUAAAGAUUUCUUCUUCAAACUUUUUAAAUCUAAAAUUAAAUAGUUGACACAGCAUAGGUUUCUGACACAGAAUGAAUGUGGUCUAAUGAACUUAAAAGUUUUUUUUUGCCUUUGAGCAAUUCACUAUGCUGUUGAAUAUUAAUCCUCUCAAAAAAUGUUUGAAGAAAUUUUUUUUUAUUUAUGAAAUCUGAAAUGAGAAAAAUUUAAACCCCCCCUCUUUUUUCACAUCCCCGUUUCCCUUUUUCCAAAACUG
rnacentral:lncRNA from 1 species